UUCCUCGAUUUCUCAUGCACGGAAGCCUGCCCCCUCUCUAGUUUAUCAUGCCCCCAUUCUGAAGUUCCUCAUGCUAAAGAUCUCCCUUCAUGGGGUGCGUAAAAAAUCCCUUCUUAAGGUGGCAUCCCAUGAAGGAUAAGGAUAGAGUUUGGGUAGUUUGGUUCAAGUUCAAACGAUGGUUGAUCUUAUCACCAAUUCAAAUCAAAUUUGAAUUGAACUUUGAACCAAACUUAAUCUUUAUCCUAGGAACUCAGAGAGAGUGGGCGACAACCAUCAAAAUGGUGCAAAGAAAUCAUGCAAAACUCAUUUUGUGUGUGAGAGAAGAGGUGGUCAGCAGC
rnacentral:lncRNA from 1 species